AUCUAGGCUCCCUGUAUCAAGAGAUGUAAAGACUGAGAUAGCUUACAACCAGAGGGUACUAUAGCAAGUAGGUGUGGCCCCAGGUGACAGUGUAUUACUACUGAAUGGACUCAUACUUCAAGAAGACGACAUGAACAUCUUUAGUAUUUUAGAUUAUCUUAAGAGAGAGUCAAGACUGUGUCUGGGCUUGAGGGGCUGGGAAUUCCGUCGAAAUAUUUUGUUCAGAUGGUGUCGUUAGCAGUCCAUCCACAGCACAGCACCUUUGCUGUUGAUAUGAGGAAUGAGUCAGUAUUGUUCAUUAAUAAUAUUGAGGAAGAUAAAAGAUAUUUAAGGUGGCCAUCAUCAGUCACUGAGUUCUUGCGUCCAGCAUUUCCGGGUACAUUACGUCAGAUCAGAAAGAAUGCUUUUACAAUUGU